rnacentral:sRNA from 1 species
UAAAAAGUUAAUUCAAAUUGUAAAAAUAAUUGCUAACAGGGAUUAAGGUAUAUUGCCUUUUAACAGCAAUGUCCAAACGGUGACCCGGAGCAGCAAUACGGUUAAAAGUUGUAAGGUUGGCCAUAAAGGAAAUAUGCAAACAAACGCAACCACCCAACCAUAUUUGCAAAACGGCAUGCGCAAUUUUAAAUUAUUAUACCCGCAAUAAAUAGCUGCCGGGGGUAAUAGGAACAAAACUUUCAAAUUUAUAAAUAUUAAAUAAUUAACAAAUAAAAUCUGGAUUAAUAUAUAUCGAUUUUUUUAUUGCAUUGGUAUUUAAUAAAAUUAUUAGCUAUUUGUAAAACCUGCGAAACCUGUUUGCCCUAUAUUUUUAUUAUUCGCAAUUACCUUUUUUAAAUUUUAAUGGAUUAUAUAUAAUAUUAUCCUUUAGUUUUUAUAAUAUUAAAAUAGAAAAAAUCCCAGAAAAUUAUAAUUUCAAACAUUUUUUAUUAUUUCCAUAUACAAAAUUCGUUUCCGUUUCAAAUUUACAAAUAAUUUUAAACCAGGAAAUAAAAAAAUUCCAAACGGCCAAACCAUUUGCCCACAUUUUUUUACCUUCCUAAAAAAAAAAAGGACGGAAAUUUUAUUAUUUAAAAAUUAAUAGGUCCCGGUCCUAAAUAUACAAUAUUUAAUAUAAUACGUUUUUUUUACGUUGGGUAUUUUAAUAUAUUUUUAUAAUUUUUCGGUUCCCAAAAAUUUAUAUUUAUACCCCUGUUAUUUUUAUAUAAUUAUACCAAUAUUUCGUCCUGCAAAUUUGGUUUUAUUAGCUCCUUGUAUUUUUCGGGUUUUCCGUGUUAAAUUUAUAUUGCAGGAUGUUGGUUUGCAAUUUUAACGACCCCGGCAGAUUUUAAACAAUUAUUUUAUUUGGCGGUGUGAAAUUGGGACGAUACCGACCCAAAGCACGCAAAACGGAAAUAUUAUUACCACCAAAUAAAAUUUUGUAAAUUUAGCAAAAUUACCUAUAAUAAAUUUUUGGAGGUUUUAAUUUUUUUAUUACAUUGUUCGGGUUUGAUAAAAUAACUUUUUAUUUUUUUGGGAAAUUUAAAACCCGAUAUAAACCUUAUUUAUUUCCAAUACAAACCUAUUAUUUAUUAUAUAUCGGUUAAUUAUUAAUAUUUAAAAUAUUUCGCUAACAAUUUUAUAAAAAUAUAUAAAUUUUAAUCCUUUUAAUUUUGGUCCGUUUGCCAUAUUUCCGAUAUUGUCGUUAAUAUCGCCGUAUUAUUACCCACCAAAUAUAGCGAUAUAUUUAUUUUGCAACCGGAGCGAAAAUGGUUUUCCGAUAUAUAAAAGGAAAGGUUUUAAUAUUAAAAUUAUUAUCGGUUUGUGCCGAGGAAUAUAUCCGCGCCGACGGUAACGUUUCGGCCCGUAAAAAAUAAACGGUUAUAUUAUAUAUAUUAAUUUUACCAUUUUUUUUUCGGUUGGCAAAAGGUCGAAAUAUUAUUUUUAUUGCAUUUAACCAGGUAAAUUAAAUAAUGCGGCGCCUUUUCCGAAAUAUUUGGUGGAAGUUUUCUAAUAUGCAUUUUAUAUUUAAUUUAUUAAAGACCUCCCCCAAUUAUUUGACGAAUUGGACAACGGCGCAAAAAUGUAAACCUGGACCAGCAAUAUAACCGUAUAAUUUAUUUUUAAUUUGCUGCAGAAAAUUUUUUAAAUAUAUUACGUAUUCGCCGGUUUUUUGGAGCGGAAAUUCGACGAAUAUUUAUAUAAAGGUAUUUAUUGGUGUUACGGUGUAAUAAAGGCGCGUAUACCCUUUGUUCGGUACAAAUAGGAAUCGAUUUUUAUAUAACGUUCGAUAUAUUUAUACCUUAUCCAAACGGACUAUAUAUCGACCUAAAACGUAAUCGCACCUGUAAUAUGUUGGUAUUAUUAUUUAACGUCCAUUGGUAAUUGUAAAAAUUAAAAUUUUUUAUUUAUAAUUAUUUCCUGCCAAUAUUAUCUAACCUUUUUUACCAUCCGUUUGCCUCGUUCGCCUUUUGGUAUUAGUUAAAUGUUUGUUUAGGGUGGUUCGCAAAGCAAAAAUGCGAUAUGGAAGGCGCAAAAUCCCCACAAAAUAUUACGAUAAUAUUAAAGCGAAAUAUAUAUUAAAGAUAUUAUCGAAGCAAAUCCCGUAAUUAAUCGUUGUUUUAUAAACCGCAAAAGUCGCAUGGCUCCGAAUAUUUGAAAAUUUUAUUACCAUUUGGUACUGUUCGCUAAUAUUCGCUUAAUUUUAUUUAAUUUUUAUCCAAUCAAAUAAAAAGGUAUAUAAUUUAUUAAAUAUAAUUUGGGUAUUUUAAUAAUUAUUAAAUAUUUCGUCCUCCGAUGGGCUAUCGGGCUGUUGCUAUUUAAUUUUCCGUCGUUUUCGAUUCGUUUUAUUGGCCACAUCCAUUUCCCGUUAAAUUUUGCUGCAAAUUUUUGUUUUUAUUCCGAAUUUCGUUUUAAAAUGGACAAUUCGCGAUUUUAAAACAGCCCAUUUAACCUGUAAGGGACAGCCACAAUCCUGUCGACAGUUCGGCUUAUAUCGGGUAUAUGAAAUUAAUAUUUCGAAAUUGGUAAGGCGCCGUUCCAUAUUUUGGACUUUUUUAAAAAACUUGGAUAACCUAUAUAAAUGGAAUUAAAUAAAUAUUAUAUGGGAAAGGAAUAAAAUAAAAAAUAAAAUUUGCUCGCUUAUUUGAAAUUUUCGUUCAAAAUAUCCAGGCGACGUCCGUUAUAUAUAUACCGAGGUCCUUUAAUUCCCAAUGGUUUUAGGGAUUUUUUUGCUGGAAAAACCGUUAAUACCGCUGUUAAUAUAAUUGUUAUUAAAAUUUUCGCUAUAAUUGUAAACGGAAAUGCCCGAUUGGCGACCGGAUAUAUAAUGUUUUCCAGCAAAUUUGUUUGUAAUAAAACCAUUAUGGCAAAUAAAUUUAGCAAACCGAUCCGCUAGCCAAAAUUGGCCUUCCGGAUUGCAUAUCGGAGUUGCAAAUAAACGAAAAUAAUAAGGAAAUUCGUUUAUUCUUUUUAGCGCCGGAUCCAAAUGCGUUAAAUCUGGAACUAAUUCGUAUUUCGGAGCAGCAAAAAUAUAACCGAAAUUAAAAAUAAUAAAAGCCGGUUAAUUGGAUAUUGGUGGGAAGGUAAAAAUUGGUGGGAUUCCGUAAAAGGAUAUUAAAAAAGGGUCGCAAUUGAUUUAGAAUGGGGAAAGGGCUUUAAUUGGAUCCAAAUCAGGUUACCACCCGACCACCUUAUUAAUGGGAAAUUUAAAAUAUAAAUUAGCAGAAAAUACGGUUAUAAACAGUAAAAACAAUUCCGAAAUGGGUUCGACCUUUUAGGGGGCGAAAAUAAUAGGCGUUCCAUAAAAUUCAAAAUCCUGGUUUUGACAUUUCGGCUUUGCCCACAAAAUGGCUCGCCAAUACCAUUUUUUUCCAACCUAUUAAAUAUAAUAGCAAAUAUACGGAAAAUAUAACGGUUAAUAAUUUCGAUAAAAUUUUUAAACAGCUUUUUAUAUUGUUUUUUCUCCUCGGCGUUAAUAUAAUAAACGUCCUAAUAAUAUUUAAUUAGGGUAUUUGUUAUAUUCGAAAUUAAUUUGAAUAUAAUUUUAUCGCAUGGGAUAUCGAUAAAAACAAUAUUUGCCUCGAUAUUAACAAAAUAAAACUCGGGAUCCGAUUCGGAUUUUGAAUUUUUUCGCAUUAGGGAUACCAAAAUCCAAAUGGUGUUCGGCAAUAACAAAACUUUGCUAAGGUAUAUUUAAUGUUCAACAACGUUAUUAAACGGUUUAUUGGGUUUAAUGCGUUAUAAUAAUUUUGUAAGCCACGGUUCGAUCGUGGACCCGAGAGCGACAGUUAUAAAGGAAGGUUGCGGCGUAAAAACCGCCACAAAUUAAAACUGUAUAUUUGGUGGUAUGCUGGGCGAAUUGCGAGAAAGAACAGCAAAGAAAGACGGGAAUAAGUCGGACCCCCUGAUUUCCGAUUACCCUAAAAAUCGCGAUCUGAAACGAUACCUCAAACAACAACCUGCUAUAUCGACCAUUUAAUUAGCUGUAAAGAUAUAAUUAAUUAUAUUAUUGGAAUCCUCAGGCUUUGGAGAUUCCUCCACCAUUUCCUCAAUUAUACCUGCAUCAGCUUAAGCCUGCUGUACUUCCCGCAAUCCAACGAACGUAAAAUUAGGGUUUGGAUUAACCCUCUUUUUUUGCCGUGGUGCAAUUACCUCCAAUUGGGCCUCCAACUCUUCAAUCUUUUUUUUUGCCAUUGCAAACUCGAUAUUUUUAAAUUUACAACUUUUUCGGAGUUUGGAAAACAAUAGCCGUUAAAUAAAGUCGCCGCCAGUUAACUGGGUAUAUUGCACCAAUUAAUCCGUUACCCUUUAAAAUCCUUUUGGGGUUUUUUAUAGGAUAAUAGAACCGGUUUUAACCAAAUCCGAUAUUUUUCCGGGGUUCUCCGGGGAUUUUAAACGUUUGGAAUUACUAUUUGGAGGUGUAAUUAUUUGUUGUUGGCUGGGAACAUUCCUAUUUUCGAGGAGUAGGGGACUUAACAACGGUUUGGCGAUAUUAACCGGCCAUAAACCCGUUGCAUACCACCCGUUUGUAAUAAUUCGAAUUGUAAAUGUUUUUUGGCGUGCAAACCGGUAAUUUUGGAGAAAAAGCCGCUUUCCAACAACCGUUAAAUUGUUAAAGUAGGCCGUAGAAGAGAACCGUCGUCGAUAUAUUUCCUUAAAUACCGAAAACACCGCUAAAUCCAAAGGUUGGAAUACGUGAAACGUAUAUGCCGGUAAAUAUAUUAUAUAUACGUUAUUGACGAAAUAUUCAAAUAUAAAUCCCGGUGUGGUAUAUAAUUUGUGGCCGUCGAUAAUUAGUAACCUAGCAUUUUUGGGGUUGUUAGGACGAGUAUUUGGCAAAAAUACAGUUUUGAGCCAUUUCAAAACGGUAUUAUUAUUGGUCCAGCCGUUGGGAAUAGCGGUAAAUUUCCAAUUUUUGAAUUAAUUGGCAUUCGAAAGGAACUAUUGUUAUUAUACCGAUUUAUUUUUAAAUAUAACGAGGGGAGGAAGGGCCCGGCCGGUAGCUGAAAUGCAUUCCAAAAAGGUCGUCCAAAUGCGAUUUCCAGGCUGUUUUUUAAUUAAAAUUUUAAUGUUUUGGAAUCCGAUAAUAAGGCCAUUUGAUUUUUGGCCUUCCAAUAUAUUUAUUUUAUCCAUAUUUCAACGGUUUUCCGGUUUAAUAGGUUUAAUUUCGGGGUGGUUUAGCUUUUGCUACCAAUUUUUAAUUAUUUUAAUAGUAAUUCCAUUAAUACGCUAAGAAUUAAUCCGCAAAGGUCUCUAUAUUUUAAAGGAAGGAUACCGUGCCAAAAAACCGUUAAUCCAACGUUUUCCGAACGGUUAAAUAAUUCCUGAAAUUAAUAAUAUACGGUUUGCUAAUUAACGGAGAUUUUUAUAAAUAGGUGGGAAAUUUUCGAUGGACGCGGCUGCGAUAAUUUUGCUUUUCCAAUGGCGUUUUUUAUUUGUUUUUUAAAAUGGAAAGUUCGAAGCCAUUUGUGUAUUUAUCUCUGGAAGGGGUCGGUAUAUAAUUUAAAAUUAAAAUUUGCACGCAAUAUCCUGGUUUUGUAAAUUUCCCCCAACGUAAAUUCCGUCCGCAAAUUUAAUUGUUUCGCGUUUUUAAAGAGCGAAAAGGUUUUUAUAACCAUAAUUUGGUUGAAAACAAUAAACGCAUCGUUUGGUAUACGGUUAAUUAUAUUAAUUUCCCGGAAUAAUAUAAAAAUAAUUAUCCACUAUAAUUUUGCAACAGAUUUUUUAAUUUAAUAAUUAUAUCGCGGUUAAUAAUAUUUUUUGGUAAUGGUACGUUACUGUCCCGCCUGCAGUUUUAAAAAUUUAACCUAUCGGAUCCAAAAAAUUUAAUUUCCAUAUUAAAAGCGGUUUAAUAUAUGGCGUAAUUAAAUUGAGCGAUUUUAUUUUUUAAGAAACGCAGGUUUAAAAGAUGUGCCGUUUUAAAUUUCCGAAAACUAUAUA